rnacentral:snRNA from 1 species
GUGCUCGCUACGGUGGCACAUAUACUAAAAUUGGAUCGAUACAGAGAAGAUUAGCAUAGCCCCUGGGAAAAGGA